rnacentral:lncRNA from 1 species
CAUCUCUCUCUCCUCUAGGCCUUUGCAAGCUCAGCACCUCCUGCUGGGCACAACUUCCUUGCUCUCCUCACCUGGUUAGAUCUCAUCCUUCAGGAGUCUCACCUUGUUCACUCCUUCCCACAGGUUCUCAGGACUUACCUUGGUCAGGGCAAGCACUGCACUGUUUGCCCUGUUGGUGUCCUGGCCGCCCAGGGUCUGUGUGUUUUAUCCCCAGAGCCCAGCAGUGAAUGAAGGACCAAGUGAAUGAGUGAUGAGUGGAAAAUCCAAUUUGCCCUGGUAUCAUGCACCCUGGGAUGGGGAACUGGAGGUGGGGAGCAGCUGAGUGGACCUGUUAACCUCCCCAUAGGUACUGAGUAAAUGCAUGCCUUCUUCUUCAGUGAUCAAAUACUUUAAGGUUUUUUUAUAACUAAGUUAUAACACUCUCACAUCUCAAACUACUUUGCCCAAGCCUAGCAGGUGGUGUUGGGAGCAGGCUUUGGAAGCAGUGGAAGGACUAGGGCGGGUGGGGGGGUUCUACCUUUACCAAAGGCUGAUACCCAGGGUCUUAAUCUUCUAUCUGCCUGGUGAAGUAGCAACACUGUAACUCCAUUUUACUGAUGAGGAGACUGAGUUGGGAAGUUGCCAGCUCACAUUUAUAAGGCUAUAAAGUGGUAGAGACAGGAUUCUGAGCCAAGAUUUCACAUUCUGGGCUCCGUGAUACCUCCCAGCCCCUCUGUCUCAGAAGCAUUUGUAAAAAGGGAUUGAGAAUUAUGAAUUUCUGUAAAAAAAUGUUUCUCUGUUCUCUCAUUUAUAUUGUUUUGUUGUUUCUGACUUGGGCAGAUAGCUUGGACCGUUGUUGGACACCAGUUCGACUUGCUGGGAAACCCAUUCAUCUUGGCCUUUCAGAGAAAAUCUUCAAUAGAAUUUAUUUGCAAGGCAAAUUAUGAAGAUUUCAGGAUUUGCCCUCAAAUUCCUCUCCCAGGCUGCUCUUUAAAUAUUUCCCAAUCCAAAAGAGACCGCAGUUAUUUUAGAUUUCUAUCUUUUAAAACCCGAAUUCACCACUCUCGCUUAGUUUUACAAGAACAUGUCUUCAAGAUAAGCUACAGUGAGGCAGGAUAGGUCUCUCACUCGGCCUGCAAAUCUGAAUCUGGUUAAUGACUGACAUUGAACUCAAUAAUCAGUGAGGAUGAUUUCAGAACACUUGGCUUUGUUUUAAAGGGCAAGAUUUUGGAAGCAGCCUCCCAGGACUCCAUCCAGAUCCAGUUUCCUGAAACAUAACUGGGGGUUUCUGCCCAGGCUCCAGGUGAGAGCAGAGAGCAGGAGAGGGCACACUGGCUUCCCAUGUGCCUGGCCCUGGGGUCAAGAGCACUGCAGGACUCCAGGAGCCAGAACCCCACAGCACAACGGCCUUUGGAUGCCUCUUCCUGUCCUGGAAGGGAAAGAGGAGGCCCCUUUCCAACCCAGGUUGAGGCUGGCAAAGGUCUUCAGAGCAGGAGGGAGUUGGAGACCACCAUAGCCUCCCGAUCAUCCCUGUACCCCUGCAUUUGCUGAGCCUGCUGACGGCUCUGCAGCUCGCCAGCCCACAUAGAAGCCUGAAAUACAUGCAACUCUGCGAGGCGUAUUUCUCACCCACACCAGUGUUCACUGUGGUUGUGAAGGAUCCUGCGUCAGCUACACAUCAGACCCAAGUGGGUCUUGACACACUGCCUGAAUUUUCCAUGUCCUCUUUGGAGACAAAGCAUAUCUUUGGCUUGGUGAAUAACUCCUGAUUAUUGGUCUUUUUCCAUUUUGUGUUAUGCUUUGGAAACUCAAAAAGUGUAGUCAAAGUAUGUGUACCUGCAUUUAUGUCAGAGAUUUUAAAAAAAUACACCUCUGAUUUUUGUGAAGAGAAAAAAAUAGGGGGGUGGGGUGGGGAUAAGCUUUAGACAAGGAAAAUAAUGUUUUUCUGUACCAAGUGCUGCUUUCACAUGGGAGGUAUCAUAAUGCUAUAAUUUAUGUAGUGGUUACAGUGUUGUGUGCUAUUCUAAUGGCUUAGUGUGCUUAUCAUAUCACUGACUCUUCCUGGCAAUCCCAGCAGAUGGGAUCUCUUUUUAUCCCUUCUCCAUUUCACAGAUGAUGAAACUGAGGCACUGAGAAAUUACUUGCCAAAAGGUACACAGCAAACAUGACAUGGGGACCAGAAGGUAUCCAAGUAUUUAAGAAAAAAUACUGAAGAUUGAACUCCAAGCCCUUUUAAAUUUUUUGAAUACAUACACAUAUAUGAUUUUUUUGCCAUUUUUUUACUAGUACAUUAUAGUUGUAUGUAAUAGUGAGAUUUGUUGUUAACAUAUUUGUACAUGCACACAAUAAAAUAAUCUAAUUUGGCCAAUAUCAUUCCCCAGUAUUAACACUUUCCUUCCCCUUCUGCCUCCCUCUGGUCCCUUUCCUCUACUCCACUGAUCUCCCUUCACUUUGCAUGAGAUCUGCCCCUUUCUUUUUCCUUUCUAGCCCCCACAUCUGAGAGAAAACACAGGACCUUUGACUUUCUGAGUUUGGCUCAUUUCACUUAACAUAAUGUUCUCAAGUUGCAUCCAUUUUCCUGUAUAUGACAUAGUUUUCAUUUUUCUUUGUGGCUGAAUAAAAC